rnacentral:misc_RNA from 1 species
AACGCAUAUUGCGCCCGAGGUUUCGGCCGAGGGCAUGUCUGGUCGAGCGCCACAAACUCUUGCGCCCCCCGUCCGCCGCUUGGGACAAUGGAGGUCUCGGGAUAGGGGUGGGACAUGCUCGUCUUGCGCCUCUGGUGCUGAGUCGAGUGAAAUGAACUGCCGUGGAAGGCCCCUACGGUUGGCAAAAUCCGACGUCGGUACGUAGGGUGCAAACCUUCCGCGCUGCGAAAUCGCGUCAAACUUGCAUGGAAGCUCAGGGUCGCUCCCGCGGUGCCAUCGCGGUGUCGUCGACGGGCGGCACGGCGUGUUGCUGUGCUGCGGAAGCGCCCUUUGUGGAAGUGCUUCAGCUGGCCUCGACUCAGGCAGGAUUACCCGCUGAAUUUAA